rnacentral:lncRNA from 1 species
AAACAUUUAGGAGUUGACAGAUGUACUAAAAUGACCUCCCAUGAAAGUAAUCAUUUGGAGAAACAUUUCAAAAUUUCUUUCUAGUGUAAUUGGACUUGAAACAAUGAAAACAAAGGAUUCCUCAGUAACAACCCAGGACACAUAUGUGAGAUAAUGCCAUACGGAGUGACACAAACAUUUUCAAUGGAGUGACAUAAAUAAUUUCAUGGACAAGUUAUUAUCGUCUCUGGAUAAACCAAUGAGGCACUCUGAAAUGAGAAGUUUUAGCAGUCUACCUUUCAGUUUGCUGCAAUUCAUUGAAGAGCCCAAGGCUAGAUUUACAUCUUUCUGGAUAAAUUCAGAGGCAUCUAGAGCUAUAGGACAGACAGGUCCAGUGGAAGAUGAAUGCAGAGGCUACGAGCAAGAGCAAGAAGGGAGACUAUUUUCAAAUGUGGUCAAACAAAUUCCCUGAGUGGAAUUCAGGUAGCUUCCUUAGUAGAAGAUGAUUUCCUGAUCUUCAUUCAGAGAAGCCUUAUUUCUAGCAGGAGUCUCAGGUGAGGCUUUCAUUUUACAAUUUACUUUUAUCUCCUCACUUAGACGCAGAUCAUAUGAUAGGAUUUUUUCCAGUCUUUUUAUCACUGAUAUGAGAAAAGAGCUCUAAUGCUGCUUAGAAUUUCAUUACUCUCUAGAAUAUAUGUAAAGAAAAUAAUGGCCUUAGCAAAACUAAAUAGCUUUUCCCCCCAUUUUAAUUCUAGUUUUGUUAGUGAAAAAAUGCGUAGGUUGAUGCUUGGAAUUUUGUCUUUGGGUAUACAUUGCAGUUUGGGUAUACAUUGCAGUUUGCUUUUCCUGCAUCUCUAAAAUUGCUGUAACUACUAUAGUGGUUCUUAGUCCCUUCAGGCCUUUGAGCUAAAAAUGAUAAAGUCAAUAAAACAUGGUCUGCCAAAAAUGGACA